rnacentral:rRNA from 1 species
GACGAACGCUGGCGGCGUGCUUAACACAUGCAAGUCGAACGAUGAAGAAGAGAAACGCGAACUUCGGUUCAAAUUUCACUUCGGAUUAGUGGCAGACGGGUGAGUAACGCGUGAGCAACCUACCUCUUACAAAGGGAUAGCCUCGGGAAACCGUGAUUAAUACCAUAUGACACAUUCAUAAGGCAUCUUAAGAAUGUUAAAGCUACGGCGGUAAGGGAUGGGCUCGCGUCCCAUUAGCUAGUUGGUGAGGUAACGGCCCACCAAGGCGACGAUGGGUAACCGGGCUGAGAGGGUGAACGGUCACAUUGGAACUGAGACACGGUCCAAACUCCUACGGGAGGCAGCAGUGGGGAAUAUUGCACAAUGGAGGGAACUCUGAUGCAGCGACGCCGCGUGAGCGAUGAAGGAAUUCGUUUCGUAAAGCUCUGUUCUAUGGGAAGAAAAGGACUGUACCAUAGGAGAAAGCCCCGGCUAAAUACGUG